rnacentral:rRNA from 1 species
UGGGGAAUUUUGGACAAUGGGCGCAAGCCUGAUCCAGCCAUGCCGCGUGCAGGAUGAAGGCCUUCGGGUUGUAAACUGCUUUUGUACGGAACGAAAAGGUGCCUUCUAAUAAAGGGCGCUCAUGACGGUACCGUAAGAAUACGCCCCGGCUAACUACGUGCCAGCAGCCGCGGUAAUACGUAGGGGGCAAGCGUUGUCCGGAUUUACUGGGUGUAAAGGGCGCGCAGGCGGGAUAAAAAGUCAGUGGUGAAAUCCUACAGCUUAACGGUAGAACUGCCUUUGAUACUUUUAUUCUUGAGUUCGGGAGAGAGAGACGGAAUUCCAGGUGUAGUGGUGAAAUACGUAGAUAUCUGGAAGAACACCAGUUGCGAAGGCGGUCUCUUGGUCCGACACUGACGCUGAGGCGCGAAAGCGUGGGGAGCAAACA